rnacentral:rRNA from 1 species
GGCGGACGGGUGAGUAACGCGUAAGAACUUGCCCUUUAGACUGGGAUAACAGAGGGAAACUUCUGAUAAUACUGGAUAAGUUAGUAUAUCGCAUGAUAUGCAAAUGAAAGCUACGGCACUAAAGGAGAGCUUUGCGUCCUAUUAGCUAGUUGGUAAGGUAAGAGCUUACCAAGGCGAUGAUAGGUAGCCGGCCUGAGAGGGUGGACGGCCACAAGGGGACUGAGAUACGGCCUUACUCCUACGGGAGGCAGCAGCC